GCGCCCGUAGCUCAGCUGGAUAGAGCACCAGACUACGAAUCUGGGGGUCGGGAGUUCGAAUCUCUUCGGGCGCGCCA
rnacentral:tRNA from 1 species